GACGAACGCUGGCGGCGUGCUUAACACAUGCAAGUCGAACGGUAAGGCCCUGCCUUUGUGGGGUGCUCGAGUGGCGAACGGGUGAGUAACACGUGAGUAACCUGCCCUUGACUUUGGGAUAGCUUCAGGAAACUGGGGCUAAUACCGGAUAGGAGCUCCUGCUGCAUGGUGGGGGUUGGAAAGUUUCGGCGGUUGGGGAUGGACUCGCGGCUUAUCAGCGUGUUGGUGGGGUAGUGGCUUACCAAGGCUUUGACGGGUAGCCGGCCUGAGAGGGUGACCGGCCCCAUUGGGACUGAGAUACGGCCCAGACUCGUACGGGAGGCAGCAGUGGGGAAUAGUGCACAAUGGGCGGAAGCCUGAUGCAGCAACGCCGCGUGCGGGAUGACGGCCUUCGGGUUGUAAACCGCUUUCGCCUGUGACGAAGCGUGAGUGACGGUAAUGGGUAAAGAAGCACCGGCUAACUACGUG
rnacentral:rRNA from 1 species